GUUUCCAAUAUCACAUUCGUUCGUUUAUUUCAUAUCGUUUACAUCUACUUACAAAUUUAACUCCUUACACUUGCAUUAAUUUCACCGAAGUGAUACAAAUAUGAUACAAAUAGCUGAAUGGAAUGAUGGCAAUAUAUUAAUUUCAAACACUCAAUAAUUCAUAAGCUUAUUGGCAAAUCAUGUCAACCAUGAUAUGUCACGUGCAGUGGCUUUAAACCUGAUAAAACACUCCUAAUUAGUAUUCUUUAUAUAAAGAAUACUAAUAAGGCAGUAUCUAUUGUAGUGGUGUCCUCAUU
rnacentral:lncRNA from 1 species